AUGUGUGUCAUUUCUCUUCCAAUGCCGCGAAAGACCCAAGAUCGUAUUAUUCAUUUGGUGAGUCCAUCCGGCACACACAUACCACAGUUAUACAGAACAGGACUUGACAAGUCAAGUGACAAACAGUACGGGCACCAAAUUGCGGCUCGGCUCACACACUAUCUUGUACACGAACGAUCGUGCCCGUGCGCAUGCACACGCCAUCUCUCCAGCAUUCCCCUCCCUUGCAUCACUUGUAUGGAACGGCGACCCUGUCCGGCCCGGACUUCAUGUCCUCCCAGAGCAGAUCGGACAACGCCAGCAUAA
rnacentral:rRNA from 1 species